UCAUAGCCGAGUAGUCAGUGUGAUAAACGUAAAAUAGAUUUAAAUUAAAAGAUAGUCAUUUCCCUUACACAUUCCGUUACAUCAACCGCAUACGGAUUGGGAAAAGCAUAUUUCUUUGUUCAGCUAAUGGAGGAAAGUCGAGAUUUUUUCGUACUAGUAAAAUUUCCUCCUAUCCAAAACUUAGCAUAUUUCGUUACUCACUAGUUCUGAUGGUAAAGUCACAAGAAAAUGGAAGCAAAAUUUGUGAAAUUAAAUUUUCGGCCAUCAAAUAGGAAAAAGAGCGCAUUGGGUCAGUAGGAAAAAAAAUUAAAAAAAUUACACACACAUAUACACAUAAAUGAAGAUUGACUUAGUCGGUAUCACAUUUUGAUCAAUAUCAUUUGACACAAAAAUUUCAUGAAACAUAUUAUUCAAUUUGUCACGAUGUCUUUAGCUAUUUUUUUUUUAACUUGUUUUAUUUUACUUGGUUUUAGUGAGAUUUUCUUUAGGGCUUUGCUAUGUUGAAUAGUAUACUUACCGGCAAGUGUUCCUAAGCCGAACUUUCCGGCUAUAACACGUUAGAGAAGGGUCUGUCAAAUCAAUAGUAAAGUCCAAUCUGCCAAAUAAGUGCACGAUAAUAAGGUUGCAAGUAAAUUUUUACCCGAUGUAAAACUUCUAAUUAUUUUGCACUAUCAACAUCCACGGAACUCACGUGCCUUGCAAUCCAUGGAGCGAGUCUUACUAUCUGUCCAUAUACAAAUAUAUAAUUCAUUAAAGAAUAAAUUAGAACAGCUUUUACAUCAGAUAAAACGGUGCGUAUUCAAAUUUAUUGCAAUCCAUCAAGAUGCUUAAUACCA